rnacentral:rRNA from 1 species
AGCUCCAAUAGCGUAUAUUAAAGUUGUUGCGGUUAAAAAGCUCGUAGUUGGAUCUCGGCAGGCAGGGAGUGGUUCGCUAUUUGGCGCUACUGCUGUCCUGCCUGUGAUUUUGGCGGAGGCUGCGGGGUGCUCUUGAUCGAGUGUCUCGUGGCGCCGUCAGGUUUACUUUGAAAAAAUUAGAGUGCUCCAAGCAGGCUUGACACGCUUGAAUAUUCGUGCAUGGAAUAAUGGAAUAGGACGUCGUUUCUAUUUUGUUGGUUUUCGGAAAUCGACGUAAUGAUUAAUAGGGACAGUCGGGGGCAUUAGUAUUCAGACGACAGAGGUGAAAUUCUUGGACCGUCUGAAGACUAACUACUGCGAAAGCAUUUGCCAAGAAUGUUUUCA